CCUAACGUCAUUUCCUGCGGGACGGCGAAUUUAAGGAUCAGGAUUUCCGCUUCCGCCCCUUUCCGGCGGUGACGACCUCCUCACGAGAACAUGCCUCUCGCAAAGGAUCUUCUUCAUCCCUCUCCAGAAGAGGAGAAGAGGAAACACAAGAAGAAGCGCCUGGUGCAGAGCCCCAAUUCCUAUUUCAUGGAUGUAAAAUGCCCAGGAUGCUAUAAAAUCACCACCGUCUUUAGCCAUGCACAAACAGUAGUUUUGUGUGUUGGCUGCUCUACUGUCCUCUGCCAGCCUACAGGAGGAAAA